CACAAUCGCUCAGCAGUUUCCCCCUUUAGGCUUUAGGCAAAGCAGCGAACACUUGGUGCCCAGCCGCCGGCGUCACCCACCGGUCACCGCUCAGAACUCAUCCAAAACGGAGACGAUGGCUGGGGGGCAUGAGAGCUUCAUUCGCAGGGAGGCCAAGCGUGAAGCGUGCCGGCCGUCAUUUCCAUCCGCCACCAGUCCACCACUGUGCUGCGCUCCGCCCGGAAACGAAGCAUGGAAGAAUAAGCUCAGC
rnacentral:lncRNA from 1 species